GGGCGCUUAGCUCAGCUGGGAGAGCGUCUGCCUUACAAGCAGAAUGUCAGCGGUUCGAUCCCGUUAGCGCCCACCA
rnacentral:tRNA from 16 species